rnacentral:rRNA from 1 species
AACUAGUCGAAAGAUUAGCUAAUACCGAAUAAUAACAUCAAUAUCGCAUGAGAAGAUGUAGAAAGUCGCUCUUUGUGGCGACGCUUUUGGAUGAGGGGUGCGACGUAUCAGAUAGUUGGUGAGGUAAAUGGGCUCACCAAGUCAAUGACGCGUAGCUGUACUGAGAGGUAGAACAGCCACAAUGGGGACUGAGACACGGCCCAUACUCCUACGGGAGGCAGCAGUAGGGAAUUUUUCACAAUGGGCGCAAGCCUUAUGAAGCAAUGCCGCGUGAACGAUGAAGGUCUUAUAGAUUGUAAAGUUCUUUUAUAUGGGAAGAAACGCUAAGAUAGGGAAAAUGAUUUUAGUUUGACUGUACCAUUUGAAUAAGUAUCGGCUAACUAUGCGCCCAGCAGCCGCGGGUAAAUA